GGAAGCACGUCGGUCGCUGGUGGGCCGCCCGGUCUUCAAAACCGGUGGGGUGGGAUGGGAAAUCUCCCCGGCAGGUUCGAUUCCUGUGUGCUUCC
rnacentral:tRNA from 1 species